UCAAGGUCCCGAAGAAGGUCAUCUGCCAGAGUGACCAGUGCUGUCUCUGUGCUAUGCCAAGGCCUGAAACCCGACUGAUAAGAAUUAUGAUAGCUAGUUUCUUCUAGCAUUAGCCUUCUUUGUCAAGUGCACGACAGAGAUUUGAAAGGACAAAUGUCUAUUUCCUAUGGACAAAAUACAUUAGGGACCCGUCCAUCAUCCCAAACUUUAUCUAGACUGUGGAUUGUGAAUACUAUCACACUUGCCUAUCAGCUGGCAGGAAAGCCACUGAAGCAUCUUAUUCACAUCCACUCUUCUACAGCACUAUCAGCCUCCUGCCUUCUCAAAAUCACCCCCCCCCACUCUACCCCACUCUCCGUCUCCUUCUCCUAACUGAAAGCUAGAUGGCUAAAACAGGCAGAGGCCAGAACAGAGAGAAGAAUCAGGGAGAUUUUAAAAAGAUUUUAAGUUGUGCCUUUUUAGAACCUGCUGGCACAUUAACAGAUUGGACUUGAGUUUUAAAACCUGUUGACACAGAUAAACUGAACUUAAAAGCUAACUGCAAAAGCAUGCUGACACAGAGUGAGCAAGUAGCCUUGAAAGGGUCUGAUCCCUGAAAGGCCUUGCCUAUUUGAGAAGCAAGCUCAAACCCACUGCCUAGCCGUGCCCCUGAUAAUAUCAGCAGCCUGCCCAAGGAGCAAGCUCAAACCAGUUCCUGUUCCAGCCGUGCCACCUGAUUGACACCUGCUCCUUGAUGACAUCGGCUCUGGAUUGCAUCUGUUCCUGACUGAUUUCUCCGCCUGUCAAGUAUCUGUGAAGGUUCCCAGACAUCAGAAGCACCCACCCCCUUUAUCCUAUCACAAUCUACCUCAUUCAUUCAUCAUUAUGCAUUGGAUGUCAGGGUGCACCAGGAUGCUAUUUUUGGCUGAUUGGUGCCGCAAUCUAUCUUCCAGUGAUUGCCUUCCCUCCAUUAGGUAAGUGAAAUUCAGCAUGUGAUAUGCCCAUCUUCAUGAUCAACAGAGACCACAACAAAGAACAACAGGUUGCAUGUGUAGGAGGUGCUUCUAGUGGUUAUUUGUUGAUUAACACACCCACCCUUCCUUCCUGCUGCUGUCUCUUUCAGAUUGGUGGACACUCGAACUGAGGGAGCCCUGCUACAUCAUGAAGGGGGUGGGGCUCCUGCCAAAAAGCAGCAGGAAUUAUUAAGAGCUUUGAAAGGUUCCCAAUCGAGCUUCCAUGCAGGCGUGAAACCCACUGCUGUAAAGUGACAGAUGACCACUAGAAGAAAAUCAGAUACAGAACCUGGGCUUGGGGAGUCAAAGAAAAGCCACAGCUGUCAGACCACACUGCACAAUGGUCUAAUUUAGCAUAAGCAAACUUCUACUGAACGGAGAUGACAACAUAGAGCAAGGAAGAUAACUAGGCUUCAGUUCUCCAUAAGAGUUCCACUGUGUUCCAGAGCAUUCAUCGGGUGCCUUUCACUGACAUCAUCUUUGUCUGAAGACG